GAGAAUCCUAAGGCCGGCGGGAGAAGCAUUGUUAAGGAACUCGGCAAAAUGACCCCGUAACUUCGGGAGAAGGGGUGCCACAGAAAUGUGGCCGCAGAGAAUAGGCUCAAGCAACUGUUUAGCAAAAACACAGGUCUAUGCAAAACCGAAAGGUGAGGUAUAUGGGCUGACGCCUGCCCGGUGCUGGAAGGUUAAGAGGAGAGGUUAGCGCAAGCGAAGCUUUGAAUUUAAGCCCCAGUAAACGGCGGCCGUAACUAUAACGGUCCUAAGGUAGCGAAAUUCCUUGUCGGGUAAGUUCCGACCCGCACGAAAGGCGUAAUGAUUUGAGCGCUGUCUCGACAAUGCAUCCGGUGAAAUUGAAGUACCAGUGAAGAUGCUGGUUACCUGCGCCAGGACGGAAAGACCCCAUGGAGCUUUACUCUAGCUUGAUACUGGGAUUCGGUAUUGCAUGUACAGGAUAGGUGGGAGACUGAGAAGUGAUGACGCCAGUUGUCACAGAGUCGAUGUUGGGAUACCACCCCUGCAGUACUGGGUUUCUAACCUGCGGCCGUGACCCGGCCGGGGGACAAUGUCUGGUGGGGAGUUUGACUGGGGCGGUCGCCUCCGAAAGGGUAUCGGAGGCGCUCAAAGGUUCCCUCAGAAUGGUUGGAAACCAUUCGAAGAGUGCAAAGGCAGAAGGGAGCUUGACUGCGACACCGACGGGUGGAGCAGGUACGAAAGUAGGACUUAGUGAUCCGGUGGUAUGAAAGUGGGAUUGCCAUCGCUCAACGGAUAAAAGCUACCCUGGGGAUAACAGGCUUAUCACUCCCAAGAGUUCACAUCGACGGAGUGGUUUGGCACCUCGAUGUCGGCUCAUCGCAUCCUGGGGCUGUAGUAGGUCCCAAGGGUUGGGCUGUUCGCCCAUUAAAGCGGUACGCGAGCUGGGUUCAGAACGUCGUGAGACAGUUCGGUCCCUAUCCGGCGUGGGCGUAGGAUAUCUGAGAGGAGCUGUCCUUAGUACGAGAGGACCGGGAUGGACUGACCUCUGGUGCAUCGGUUGAGCCACCAGGCUCAUGGCCGAGUAGCCAAGUCGGGACGGGAUAAACGCUGAAGGCAUCUAAGCGUGAAGCCCCCCUCAAGAUGAGAUAUCCC
rnacentral:rRNA from 1 species